rnacentral:rRNA from 1 species
UACGGGGGGGGCAAGCGUUGUUCGGAAUUACUGGGCGUAAAGGGCGCGUAGGCGGCUUUUCAAGUGACGGGUGAAAUCCCUCGGCUUAACCGAGGAACUGCCUGUCAGACUGGAAGGCUUGAGACCGGGAGAGGUGAGUGGAAUUCCCAGUGUAGCGGUGAAAUGCGUAGAUAUUGGGAGGAACACCAGUGGCGAAGGCGGCUCACUGGACCGGAACUGACGCUGAGGCGCGAAAGCGUGGGGAGCAAACAGG